ACGGUGGACAGGCCUUCUAGCGUCUUCCUUGCGGCGACUUUUGGUUCUAACGGGGCUGUGUCAAAUUGCGCUUCUGCUUCCAGCGCUGAGGAGAGGCCGCACUCAGAAGAGUCUUAGGACAGUGAGGAGGAUAGGACCUAAAUCCACGGUUUUGUAUGAGCCCGACAGCACCUGUAACGGGGCUGUCCCUCUCUCCUGUCCGGCGCCUCCACACUAGCCCUUCGUUCCUGAGACACCCGCUGGGGACCUUGUUGAGCCUUUACACAGCGGAGACCGAGGUCCCUGGUCACCCGGCCCAGGGCUGGGGUGAGGGGUCGGCUGAGCCCGCUGGGCGCGCUUUAGUCCCUGCUUCUCGCGGUCUCGCUCCGCCCAUGGGGGGUCAUGGCGGCGCCGGAGCUGGCCUCCUUAUUCCCUGAGACACAACGUUGAAACUAGGCCAGAUGAUAACCCUACAAUGGCCUAUAAUUGUUCAAGCGAAAGGAAGAGUCACACAUCUCUCACUUUAAAUCAAAAACUAGAAAUGAUUCAGCUUAGCGAGCAAGGCAUUCAAAAGCCAAAAGAGGCUGAAAGCUAGGCCUCUUGCACCAGCCAGCCAAGUUGUGAAGGCAAAGGCAAAGUUCUUGAGGAAAAUUAAAAGUGCUACUCCAGUGAACACACAAAUGUGUGAACACCAGCCACGACAUUCCCAUAAACCAAAGCCUAAUCCAGAGCAAGGCCCUAACUCUUCAGUUCAAGGUAGGCUGCCAGAGGUGAGGAAGCUGCAGAAGAGAAGCUGGAAACUAGCAGAGGUUGAUUCAUGCAGUUUAAGAAGCCAUCUCUCGAACGGAAAAGUACCAGGUAAAGCCGAGAGUGCUGAUGGUAGGAGCUGUGGCAAGUUCUCCAGAAGAUCUAACUAAAACAAUUCAUUGUAGGUGGCUACACUAAACAACAGAUUUUCAAUGUAGAUGAAACACCUUCCAUUGGGAAAGUUGUCAUCUAGGACUUUCAUAGCUAGAGAGAAGCCAGUGCCUGGCUUAAAGCCUCAUAGUACACGCCGACUCUGCUUAGGGGCAAACGGAGCUGAUGACUUUAAGUGGAGACCAGUGUCCAUUGACCAUUCUGAAAACCCAAGGACCCUUAAGAAUUAUGCUAAUUCUGUUCUGCCUGUGCUCUGUGAAUGAAAGAACAGAGCCUGGAUGACAGCACAUCUGCUUACAGCUUGGCUUAUUGAAUGUUUUAGGCCUACUGUUAAGACCUAGUGCUCAGAAAAAAAAAGAUUCUUUUCUAAAAUAUAUGGUCUAAUUGACAAUGCACUGGUCAUCUGAGAGCUCCGGUAGAGAAAUAUACAAUGAGAUUAAUGUUUUCAUGACUGCUAACAGAUCAAUUUUGCAGCCCAUGAAUCAAGAAGUAACUUUGCCUUUCAAGUCUUUUUGAGAAAAACAUUUUAUAAGGCUGUAGCUGCCGUAGUUAGUGAUUCCUCUGAUGGAUCUGGGCAAAGUCAAUAAAAAUCUGGAAAGAAUUUAUCCUUCUAUAGCCUUUCAUGAUUCAUGGAAAGAGGUCAAAUUAUCAACAUGAACAGGAGUUUGGAAAAAGUUGAUCCAACCCUUGUGGAUGACUUUGAGGGAUUUAAGACUUGAGUAGAGGAAAUUACUGCAGAUGUGGCAGAAAGAGCAAGUGAACUCGAAUUACAAGCGGAGGCUGAGGAUGUGACUGAAUUGCUGCGAUCUCAUUCAGCCAAAGGGAUGAGGAGCUGCUCUUUACAGAUGAGCAAAGAACAUGGUUUCUUAAAAUGGGGUCUACUCCUGGGGGAGAUGGUGAAGAUUGCUGAAAUGACAGCAGAGCACUUAGAAUGUUACCUAAUUACUUGAUAAAGCAGCAACAAAGUUUAGGAAGAUUGACUCCAGUUUUUAAAUGGGUAAAAUGCUAUCAAACGGCACUUCAUGACAGAGAAAUCAUUCUUGAAAGGAAAAGUCAACCGAUGCAGCAAACUUCAUUGCUGUCUUAUUUUAAGAAACUGCCACAGCCACCCCAGCCUUCAGCAACUGCCACCCUGAUCAGUCAGCAGCCAUCAACGAAAGACCCCCUCCUCCACCAGCAAAAAGAUUAUGACUUACAGAAGCUCAGAUUAUAUUGAGCAAUAAAGUAUUUUUCAAUUAAGGCAUAACUCGGUCUUAACUGGACCGUGAGGGCAGCUGCACUCAGCCCAGAAGACUUGUACUGAGAGGUGGUACGGAAAGCUGUUUUUGGGCUUCGGAUCUCACUGGGUAAAGCCUCACCUCUCCUCCAUGAUGCCUCCUUCAUUCUGCCUUUUCUCCAAAACACAUCUUAGGGCACCCUUCCUCCUUCCUGCAACCCAGAACUGCUUACAAACAGCAUCACUGCAAAGAUUUACACAGAAUUCCUACAUCCGUCAGGCUGUUCUUGGAUUAAUCUUCUGAUGUCUAACAAGGUAAGAACUCAUAGUGGACAGUUUGCUACAUUUCUCAUACAAGCUCUCUCCAGUGUGAAUUGAUACAGAAUAAGGGAUACACCUUAACGGAAGGAUUUCCCACCAUUUUUAUAUUCCUAUUCCUUUCCUCUUGUGUAUACUCAGUAAGAAAUUCUUAUUCCCUAAUGUCUUCCCCAUGUUACAUAUAUACGGUUUUUUCCAGUGUGGACUUCCGUCCAUUAAGGGAUUAAUACUGGCUAAGGGCUUUCUCACAUUUAUUGCCUAUGAAUUAUUGCCUUCAUAGUCAAUAAACGGUCUCUCCACAGUGUGAAGUGUGAUGGACAGUAGGCUUGUACCCCUGCUAAAGGCCUUCCCAUAUUCACUACAUUCAUGAGACUUUUUUUCCCAGUAAAAAUUUUCAGGAAAGAUCUAUGGCUAAAGCAUAUUAUGACAAAUAUUCUGUUCAUAUAGUUUCUCUCUCAUGUGAUUUCUCACAUGUAUAAUCAUUCAUAUGGCCUAAAGGCUUUUCUACACUUAUUGCACUACUGGGUUUCUCUCCAUUAUGUAUUCUCUGAUGGGCAGUAAGAUUUGAGCCUUUGCUAAAAGCCUUCCCACACUCGUUACAUUUAUAUGGCUUUUCUCCAGUAUGAAUUCUCUGAUGUACAGUAAGGUUUGAACUACAGCUGAAGGUCUUCCCACAUUUAAUACAUUCAUAGGGCUUCUCUCCAGUAUGAAUUCUGUGAUGCUGAAGCAGGGACGACCUAUGACUGAAGGCUUUCCCACAUAUAUUGCAUUCAUAAGGUUUCAAUCUGGUGUGAUUUCUUAAAUGCAUAUUCAGUGAUUCUGGCUGGUUGAAGGAUUUCCUGCAUUUCUGACAUUGAAAAGGCUUUUCUUCAUUAUGAAUACUCUGAUGCUGAAUAAGAAAUGACAGGCUGCUGAAGACUUUCAGACAUUUGCUGCAUUCGAAUUGUUUCUCUAUAGUGUGGAUUCUUUGAUGUCGAGUAAGGUGGGAGCUACAGCAAAAGGCUUUUCCACAUUCACUGCAUUCAUAAGGUUUCUCUCCAGUGUGAGUUUUCUGAUGGUGAAUGAGAGAUGACCUAUGAAUGAAGGCUUUCUCACAUAUUCGACACUCAUAGAGUUUUUCUUGAGUAUGAAUUCUCAGAUGUUCAAUAAGAUGUGAAACACGACUAAACGACUUUCCACAGUUCAUACAUUCAUAUGGCUUCUCUCCAGUGUGAGUACGCUGAUGAUUAGUGAGUGAAGACACAUGGCUAAAGGCCUUCCCACAUUCAAUACAUUUGUAAGGUUUCUCUCCACUGUGACUUAUCUGAUGUCGAGUUAGGGAUGAGCCAUGGCUAAAAGUCUUCCCACAUUCAUGACAUUCAUAUGGUUUCUCUCCUGUAUGAAUUCUCCAAUGGCGAUUAAGGAUUGAUUGUUUGCCAAAGGCUUUCCCACAUUCAUUGCAUGUAUAGAUUUUCUCUCUAUUAGAAGUCUGAUUAAGGGUAAGAGAUUUGCUCUGGCUGAAGGCUGACACACUUCCUUUAGAAUCCAAAAGUUUCUUCCCACCAUUGAUCGCCUUAUUUUUUAUAACAGAUUCUUUUGGUAAGCUCUUCUUACAUAUAUCACGUUUACGUGAUUUCCCUUCAGCAGAAAUUCUCUGUGGUUCAGAAAGAAUAGACUUUAAAGAGAAGAUGCUGCUAAAUGUAUUGUAUUUGUAAACAUUUUCCCCAGUAGGACCUUCUCUAAAGGUGAGGGUCACUGGUCUGAAAUGUUCUACCUGGUUUUCAUGCUUCUCUUCCAUCUUCUCUAUAUAUUCCCAGUCCUUGUUAAAAUUGGAAAAUUCAUGACUGUGUUUUAUCAUUUUUUCUAUUAUUACCGUUUGGGGUGAAUCUUCAUCAUAAAUAUCCUCCUUUGUUACUAAUUCCUUGUUUUCCCAUCUUGAUUCCCAAUCUGAAAUAUAUCAAGAAAGCAAAACACUGCUUUUUCUGUACUUCUUGAAAAGAAACUACUAUGGUAGGAAUAAGAGAUAAGAAACAGAGCACAUCUCUACCUCCAGAAAGCACAGGACUGAAUUCUCAUUCAGUGAUUUCUGAACGAAGUUCAAAUGGAGCAAAGACUAGAGCUAGCUUGCAGAGGUGGAAAUGGAGUGUAAUAAGGGAAAUCAGUUAAAAACAGGCAAUCAGUAUGUGGACUAAAAGUGAAAUUGUCAGGAAAAAAUGCACAAAGUCUUCUGGAUUCCAAGCCAACACUCUAUUUUGUACCUACAUUUUUGUGAAAGACCACAUUUUGUCUCACAGCCUUGGUUCUCCAACUUUCAAUUAAUCUCAACUUGCUGUCAGAUUAGUAUGCUUAAAAUGCACAAUUUAUAGUAGUACAUUAAAAAGUUAAUAAGUGGGGCGCCUGGGUGCCUCAGUGGG